AUUGAACGCUGGCGGCAGGCCUAACACAUGCAAGUCGAGCGGAUGACGGGAGCUUGCUCCUUGAUUCAGCGGCGGACGGGUGAGUAAUGCCUAGGAAUCUGCCUGGUAGUGGGGGACAACGUUUCGAAAGGAACGCUAAUACCGCAUACGUCCUACGGGAGAAAGCAGGGGACCUUCGGGCCUUGCGCUAUCAGAUGAGCCUAGGUCGGAUUAGCUACUAGGUGGGGUAAUGGCUCACAUAGGCGACGAUCCGUAACUGGUCUGAGAGGAUGGUCAGUCACACUGGAACUGAGACACGGUCCAGACUCCUACGGGAGGCAGCAGUGGGGAAUAUUGGACAAUGGGCGAAAGCCUGAUCCAGCCAUGCCGCGUGUGUGAAGAAGGUCUUCGGAUUGUAAAGCACUUUAAGUUGGGAGGAAGGGCAGUAAGUUAAUACCUUGCUGUUUUGACGUUACCGACAGAAUAAGCACCGGCUAACUCUGUGCCAGCCGCCGCAGUAACAC
rnacentral:rRNA from 1 species